ACACAUGCAAGUCGAACGGUAGCAGGAAGAAAGCUUGCUUUCUUUGCUGACGAGUGGCGGACGGGUGAGUAAUGCUUGGGAAUCUGGCUUAUGGAGGGGGAUAACUGUGGGAAACUGCAGCUAAUACCGCGUAAUCUCUGAGGAGUAAAGGGUGGGACCUCUUGGCCACCUGCCAUAAGAUGAGCCCAAGUGGGAUUAGGUAGUUGGUGGGGUAAAGGCCUACCAAGCCUGCGAUCUCUAGCUGGUCUGAGAGGAUGACCAGCCACACUGGAACUGAGACACGGUCCAGACUCCUACGGGAGGCAGCAGUGGGGAAUAUUGCGCAAUGGGGGGAACCCUGACGCAGCCAUGCCGCGUGAAUGAAGAAGGCCUUCGGGUUGUAAAGUUCUUUCGGUAAUGAGGAAGGGAUGUUGUUAAAUAGAUGGCAUCAUUGACGUUAAUUACAGAAGAAGCACCGGCUAACUCCGUGCCAGCAGCCGCGGUAAUACGGAGGGUGCGAGCGUUAAUCGGAAUAACUGGGCGUAAAGGGCACGCAGGCGGACUUUUAAGUGAGAUGUGAAAUCCCCGAGCUUAACUUGGGAAUUGCAUUUCAGACUGGGAGUCUAGAGUACUUUAGGGAGGGGUAGAAUUCCACGUGUAGCGGUGAAAUGCGUAGAGAUGUGGAGGAAUACCGAAGGCGAAGGCAGCCCCUUGGGAAUGUACUGACGCUCAUGUGCGAAAGCGUGGGGAGCA
rnacentral:rRNA from 1 species